GUGCUUGCUUCGGCAGCACAAAUACUAAAAUUGGAACAAUAUAGAAAAGAUGAGCGCGGCCCCUGCGCGAGGAUGACACGCAAAUUCGUGAAGCGGUCCAUGUUUUU
ensembl:snRNA U6 U6 spliceosomal RNA